UCUCUCUGAUUGGACGAAGGGCAGCUCAAACCACGCCCACUCAUUGCAGGCUAAUGUUUACGUGUGGUGAUGUCGAUCUACUGUUAAUGAGAACAGGCCAAGGACCGUUUCCACAACGGUAUGAGUCAGGAACCCAGAUGUGCAGUGUCAGCUUUAUUCAUUCGAGCAAUGGAAGAACUCUGCAUGAUAUAUAACACGAUGCAGCCCAACAGACUGAAGGUAGAACAAAACAAAGCCGAGGAAGAAGAAGAAGUUACAGUUCCCGUUAGCAGCGUCAGAAAACAUCGCGAUGUUUCGUCUGUUCCAGCCUGCAGCUUCCAUUCUCUUCAUCCCAGGAGGACUGAGAUUUCUCAAAGUCGACUCUCAAAUUCUCCACGUUACCAGCAGAACAUCUUAACGGAUAAUGUUGGAAACGAGAUCUGAACACAACGACAGAAGAUGAAGAAAGAAAAAGGGAUUUAUUUUCAUAAUUCAGGACUGAAUAAAAGGACGUUGUUAUCGCGUUCAGAUCGUAUGAAGCGGUGCAGAGUGGAGGAGAACGGAGCUGAGGAAAAGGAAUAAUUAAGGUCUGGAUAACACAAAAUGUUUCAAGUUAAAAAAAUAUUAUUUUGGAUUUUCUGGAUCUAAUGAUCUCAAAUAAUACAUGAGAAUAAUUGCAGAAUUAACUCUAACUGUGAUUUAGUUCAUACUGUAAAUCUGAAUCAAUCGGUAUCUUUAGCUCAUUCUUCUCUAUUUGUAAAUAUGCAUUUUAUUAUUUGAUUUCCUUUCUUAUUUUAACAUGUAAUAACUUACUGUAAAUAAGUGUAUUGUCACUCAUUUCUAUGCUGCUGUAAAAUGGGACAUUCAUCCAAUGAAGAAUUAAUAAAGUUUUCUGAUGAAAAACUA